CCAUACUUCCUUACUUCUCAUA
rnacentral:miRNA from 12 species